rnacentral:RNase_P_RNA from 1 species
AGAGUUUGCUAGAUAGUCGCAGGCAAGGGCUUGAAAAAGUUGUUGUUUGAGGAAAGUCUGGGCUUCACAGGGCAAGAUACGAGCUAACCACUCGUGCGGGCGACCGUGAGGAGAGUGCCACAGAAAUGUAAACUGCCGAUGGUUUUUUCUUCACGGAAAAAACACAGGCGAUGGUGCAACGGUGAGGUAAAAGCUCACCAGCAAGGUGGAAACGCCUUGGCUAGGUAAACCCUAUCUGAAGCAAGGCUAAGGAAUGCGUGGGCGGUCCCGUCCCAUUUUCUACCCCGCUAUAUAUUACGAGCGUGUGUUGUGAAACCACGCCAAGACAGAUGGCUAUCGUUUUACGCCGUUGGCGUAGAAUAACAGAACCCAGCUUAUGGCGAACUCUGCUU